AUUGAGCGCUGGCGGCAGGCCUAACACAUGCAAGUCGAGCGGAUGAAGGGAGCUUGCUCCUGGAUUCAGCGGCGGACGGGUGAGUAAUGCCUAGGAAUCUGCCUGGUAGUGGGGGAUAACGUCCGGAAACGGGCGCUAAUACCGCAUACGUCCUGAGGGAGAAAGUGGGGGAUCUUCGGACCUCACGCUAUCAGGUGAGCCUAGGUCGGAUUAGCUAGUUGGUGGGGUAAAGGCCUACCAAGGCGACGAUCCGUAACUGGUCUGAGAGGAUGAUCAGUCACACUGGAACUGAGACACGGUCCAGACUCCUACGGGAGGCAGCAGUGGGGAAUAUUGGACAAUGGGCGAAAGCCUGAUCCAGCCAUGCCGCGUGUGUGAAGAAGGUCUUCGGAUUGUAAAGCACUUUAAGUUGGGAGGAAGGGCAGUAAGUUAAUACCUUGCUGUUUUGACGUUACCAACAGAAUAAGCACCGGCUAACUUCGUG
rnacentral:rRNA from 1 species